rnacentral:lncRNA from 1 species
AGUCGAUGCAUUGACUCAUCACAUGUUCGCAAUUACUCAGAGCUCUGGCCUUCCAAAUGGCUCAGGGAGUAUAAGCAUUCUGAUAGUCCAUUGGCACAGAGUUCCUGAAAGUGGAGCUGGGAUCAUCACCACUGCAGCUAACAGUCACCAGCCGCUGCCUGAAGUGGAACCGAGGCUCACCUUGAGCUUCACUCUAAAUCUCGCGGGAGCGCCUUGGGAGAAGAGCGAGCCAUUUACAGUAUUCACAUGUAUCCCACCUCAUUCCGGAUAAUGUGUCACGGGAGUCGAAGCAUUGUGUGUUCUCUACUGGCAUGCUCACUUCCUGCACACAAGAAUGGGUGGGUACCUGAGGACACCAGCCACGCCCUGAGGAGUGGAGAUGUGGUAUCCCGAAAGAGAGCACCAGGACACAAGCAGAGACCCUCUGCAUCCUGAGCUGGGGAGGUGAGCUAGACAUGCAGCUGGGGUCUCAGAGACUACAGGAGUUGAACAGGAAGUGGGGCGGAAAAGAAGAGAGUGUUCUGGACCACAGGAACAGCACCCAUGAAAAUCCGUGCUGGGAAAGAGAGUCUGAGUUACCGAGAGGGCCCGCCAGUCAGACGUUGGGACAUUUUUGAAGAGAUUGCUGGAAGGGCAGCACCCCGGCACUUGGCUUGGCCGGCACCAUGGCGUAGCAGAGUUCCAGCUUAUGCCCUCUUGCCUUUUCUCCCGUAAGAGAAUACUAGCUAUUUAAAGCUGUGCACAGACAACCUGGAGUUAGAUCUACAUUUCCUACUCCCUUCCAACAGUUACGACCGUGGCACCACGUAACUAUGGG